GGGGCUAUAGCUCAGUUGGAAGAGUGCCUGGAUCGCACCCAGGAGGUCGCCGGUUCGAGCCCGGCUAGCUCCA
rnacentral:tRNA from 1 species